rnacentral:rRNA from 1 species
AUUGAACGCUGGCGGCAGGCCUAACACAUGCAAGUCGAGCGAGCGGCGGACGGGUGAGUAAUGUCGGGGAAACUGCCUGAUGGAGGGGGAUAACUACUGGAAACGGUAGCUAAUACCGCAUCCCAUCAGAUGUGCCCAGCUGUGAAUGGCGAGUAGGUGGGGUAACGGCUCACCUAGGCGACGAUCCCUAGCUGGUCUGAGAGGAUGACCAGCCACACGUGGACUGAGACACGGUCCAGACUCCUACGGGAGGCAGCAGUGGGGAAGAUGGGACAAUGGGCGCAAGCCUGAUGCAGCCAUGCCGCGUGUGUGAAGAGGGCCUUCGGGUUGUAAAGCACUUUCAGCGGGGAGGCGUUACCCGCAGAAGAAGCACCGGCUAACUCCGUGCCAGCCGCCGCGGUAAUAC